rnacentral:snRNA from 1 species
AGAUACAAGGGUGAUCUCGCUGUGACAUCUGUCACCCCAUUGAUUCGACUAAUCUGGCUGGCUGGGGCAGGGGGGUGUCCCCUUCCUCCCUCAUUGCUCCAUGUGUGUCCUUCCUGAAACUUCCUUGAAUAGAGAGAGACCAGUCAUUGGUCCAGGGUGUACAAGUAGCUGCAUUUCCCUGCUAUAACCUCCAAACAAGCUCUCAAGGUCCAAACCUUCCUACAGAGUUAGAAGAUACAUGUCACAUUACAUGAAUAUACAUAUAUACAUAUAUAUGAUAUUAUAU